rnacentral:rRNA from 1 species
CCUACGGGUGGCAGCAGUGAGGAAUAUUGCACAAUGGGCGGAACCCUGAUGCAGCAACGCCGCGUGCAGGAAGACGGUUUUCGGAUUGGAAAAUUGUGUUCAUAGUGAAGAAUCACGCCGGUAGCGAAGGGGCAAGCCACGGCUAAAUACGUGCCAGCAGCCUCGGUAAUACGUAGGUGGCGAGCGUUGUCCGGAUUUACUGGGUGUAAAGGGAGCGCAGGCGGGAAGCCAAGUCAGCUGUGAAAACUACGGGCUCAACUUGUAGACUGCAGUUGAAACUGGUUUUCUUGAGUGAAGUAGAGGUUGGCGGAAUUCCGAGUGUAGCGGUGAAAUGCGUAGAUAUUAGGAGGAACACUGGUGGCGAAGGCGGCCAACUG